rnacentral:ncRNA from 1 species
GAUCUACAUUUCGAGUUGAACAUCUUGUUCAUGCCAACCUGUUACCCAUACAAGGUGGAUGCAUAAUGUGGCAUUACUAAUGCAAUACUGGGUUACCGC